rnacentral:rRNA from 1 species
UGGAGAGUUUGAUCCUGGCUCAGGAUGAACGCUAGCGGCAGGCCUAACACAUGCAAGUCGAACGAAGUAGCAAUACUUAGUGGCGCACGGGUGCGUAACGCGUAGGCAAUCUGCCUCUUACCGGGGGAUAACUUGGGGAAACCCAAGCUAAUACCGCGUAACAAAUCGGUUGGCAUCAAUUGAUUUUAAAAGCUUCGGCGGUAAGAGAUGAGCCUGCGUCCCAUUAGCUGGUUGGUGUAGGUAACGGCUCACCAAGGCGACGAUGGGUAGGGGAACUGAGAGGUUGAUCCCCCACACUGGUACUGAGAUACGGACCAGACUCCUACGGGAGGCAGCAGUGAGGAAUAUUGGGCAAUGGGCGAGAGCCUGACCCAGCCAUGCCGCGUGCAGGACGAAGGCCCUCCGGGUUGUAAACUGCUUUUCUACGGGAAGAAAAAGCUCUUGCGGGAGUAAUUGACGGUACCGUAGGAAUAAGCACCGGCUAACUACGUGCCAGCAGCCGCGGUA